UUCCUACGGGGGGCAGCAGUGGGGAAUAUUGCACAAUGGGGGAAACCCUGAUGCAGCGACGCCGCGUGAGCGAGGAAGUACCUCGGUAUGUAAAGCUCUGUCAGCAGGGAAGAAAAUGACAGUACCUGACCAAGAAGCCCCGGCUAACUACGUGCCAGCAGCCGCGGUAAUACGUAGGGGGCAAGCGUUAUCCGGAUUUACUGGGUGUAAAGGGAGCGCAGGCGGCGCGGUAAGUCUGAUGUGAAAGCCCGGGGCUCAACCCCGGGACUGCAUUGGAAACUGUCGUGCUGGAGUGUCGGAGGGGG
rnacentral:rRNA from 1 species